rnacentral:tRNA from 1 species
GGAGCUGUGGCGCAGUGGGUUAACGCCCUGGUCUGAAGCACCAGAAUUCCAUAUGGGUGAAGGUUCGAGACCUGGCUGCUCCA